GGAAAAGCACCGAAGAGCUCUGGCUUUUAAGAUAAGGAGCCAGGAGUGGUGUAAUUACCUCCCAUCAGGUUAGAAAGUAAAAACAGCAUUUUCUCUGCCAAGGCAGCUGAAUGCAUCUGGCCUCUCCAAUCAAGCCACCCUAGGAAGCUUCUCGCGGCCCCGGAAACUCUCCCGGCGUCUCCUGGCCCCAUUUUCGCCCUCCAGCCUGGCGCAGAGGGUUUUAGUGAAAUUGCUGCUGAUUGCUCCUGCUCUGGAGUGAGGAGAGAAACAGCUCCGGCGUGCCCUGUGCUUGGCACCACGACUGCUCCUGCAAGGCAGGCAAUAAAUCAGAUCCCCUGGCACUGGGGGUGCCGGGCAGCUGGGGUGGCCGUGGGGUGCAGCACCCACACACCGCCCGGCCCCCGGCCCUCCUCUCUCUGCUCUGACCUCAGGCGGGCGCAGGGCGCCUUGCCCUGUCCCCCUCCUCUGAGUGCUGGGGAGAGCUGA
rnacentral:lncRNA from 1 species